rnacentral:rRNA from 1 species
CCUACGGGUGGCAGCAGUGGGGAAUAUUGCACAAUGGGGGAAACCCUGAUGCCGCGACGCCGCGUGAGUGAAGAAGUAAUUCGUUACGUAAAGCUCUAUCAGCAGGGAAGAACAUGACGGUACCUGAGUAAGAAGCCCCGGCUAACUACGAACCAGCCGCCGCGGUAAUACGUAGGGGGCAAGCGUUAUCCGGAUGUACUGGGUGUAAAGGGACCGUAGACGGUGCGCCAAGUCUGUAGGGAAAUGCCGCAGCUUAACUGCGGAACUGCUUUGGAAACUGGCGAAGUAGAGUUCGGGAGGGGUAAGCGGAAUUCCUAGGGUAGCGGUGAAAUGCGUAGAUAGUAGGAGGAACACCGGUGGCGAAGGCGGCUUACUGGACCGUAACUGACGUUGAGGCUCGAAAGCGUGGGGAGCAAACAGGAUUAGAUACCCGGGUAGUC